UUCUGUAUUCUCACCAUGCUGAGGUUCCUCCACUGAGCCAGUACUGAAGACACUGAUGAACAAAUAUGUACUGUUCCUGAGUACACACAAAGGAAUGAGCAGAGCUGUCACCAUGACAAUUAUCCUGACGUUUUGCUCCCACACCAUCCUCCAGAAGUCAGCCGUGGUGUUGUGCAGUGGACCCUGGGUGCAGAUGAAGUCUCUUUCUGAUCCUCCACCCUGAAUACAGACAAACAGUCAUUAACAGACGGACACAGGCAGGAAAAAGUGUGAUGGGUGGAGACUGUGGGUGGAGAUAGGAACACAAAACUUCAGAGGGGGGAUGUCAUAAUGU